rnacentral:ncRNA from 1 species
UGUGCGAAAAGGCAAAAUCGUUGAAAAACGAUGACGCAAAACUAAAGGGGCUAAGGGAAGGACUCCUAUGCCAGCCAGUUGUCGAA